AAAUGCAACGAAGCUGUGAUGACAGUUUUGGUGGAAGAUUUCAGACUUUACUUAAAGGAACAAAUUGAUUGGUUAUUUUCGGCGAGGUUAAAGAAACUUGGAUUUUCUUCUUUAUUUGAUGAAAGCUGCUAUGUAGAUAUGCAAAGCAACACUUAUUGCUCUCACAAGGAUGUCAAUAGACGAAAGAAACACAUCAGAUUCUUUCAUGGGAAAAUUCACGUACAUUUAUGCAUUGAACUUCUUCCAUCUUGUUCGAAAAAAUGUCAAUUUACAAUAAUAUUUCCAUGUGAAACGACAUCGUGUAAAUACAAUACCUAAAGUAUAACUGCCUCUAUGUAUCCUUCGGAUAUCAAACAAUGAAAAUCCAGGAAAUCGAGAGAUAAUGCUCUCAAGAUGCCGAAAAGAAUGUGAUGAUUUUUUUACGAAAACAAAAAUGUAUGG